GACGAACGCUGGCGGCGUGCUUAACACAUGCAAGUCGAGCGGUAAGGCCCUUCGGGGUACACGAGCGGCGAACGGGUGAGUAACACGUGGGUGAUCUGCCUCGUACUUCGGGAUAAGCCUGGGAAACUGGGUCUAAUACCGGAUAUGACCUUGGACUGCAUGGUCUUUGGUGGAAAGAUUUAUCGGUACGAGAUGGGCCCGCGGCCUAUCAGCUUGUUGGUGGGGUAACGGCCUACCAAGGCGACGACGGGUAGCCGGCCUGAGAGGGCGACCGGCCACACUGGGACUGAGACACGGCCCAGACUCCUACGGGAGGCAGCAGUGGGGAAUAUUGCACAAUGGGCGAAAGCCUGAUGCAGCGACACCGCGUGAGGGAUGACGGCCUUCGGGUUGUAAACCUCUUUCGACAGGGACGAAGCGCAAGUGACGGUACCUGUAGAAGAAGCACCGGCCAACUACGUGCCAGCCGCCGCCGUAAAAC
rnacentral:rRNA from 1 species